AGGCUUAUGACACUGAGACCGAAUUUCAAUUCUGCCCUUUGGCAGUUAAGAGUAACCCCGGAAAACUUCUGGGAGGGAUGAGAAAAGUUCUACAACAUCAAUAUCUCACGCCCUGUUUAUUAUACUCAUACACAUUAAAAUGAAACUGGAUAAACUCAGUAGCUCAGAAAUCGCUUUCUUGGCCAUUGUUGAAGCUGAUUAAACUAUGGCCAUAAUCAUAGAAGGCAUCAAGCUCUACCUGCCUGUGUGUGAAGUCUACAGAGCUGUGCACCUCACUGUCUGUGAAGUCUACAGAGCUGUGCACGUCACUGCAUGUGAAGUCUACAGAGCUGUGCACUUCACUGCGUGUGAAGUCUACAGAGCUGUGCACGUCACUGCAUGUGAAGUCUACAGAGCUGUGCACGUCACUGCAUGUGAAGUCUACAGAGCUGUGCACUUCACUGCUUGUGAAGUCUACAGAGCUGUGCACGUCACUGCGUGUGAAGUCUACAGAGCUGUGCACGUCACUGCAUGUGAAGUCUACAGAGCUGUGCACGUCACUGCGUGUGAA
rnacentral:lncRNA from 1 species